GGAGGGUUGGCAGAAUGGCAAUGCGCGGGUUUUGAAAACCCGUGGGCGCAAGCCCUUAGAGGUUCGAGUCCUCUACCCUCCG
rnacentral:tRNA from 1 species